ACGUAGGGUGCGAGCGUUAAUCGGAAUUACUGGGCGUAAAGCGUGCGCAGGCGGUUGUGUAAGACAGGUGUGAAAUCCCCGGGCUCAACCCGGGAACUGCGUCCGAUACUGGGAGGCUUGAAUCCGGGAGAGGGAUGUGGAAUUCCAGGUGUAGCGGUGAAAUGCGUAGAUAUCUGGAGGAACACCGGUGGCGAAGGCGGCAUCCUGGACCGGUAUUGACGCUGAGGCGCGAAAGCGUGGGGAGCAAACAGGA
rnacentral:rRNA from 1 species